rnacentral:rRNA from 1 species
AUGAAAGUUCGUGCCGUAAUAUAUUUCUUAGAAUCCCCUAUAUAUAUUCCCUCUUCCUUUUGUGGCAACUCGGCCAUUAAACGUUCGUUGGAGGUCGCCUCAGCUCCAGCCAUGGCAGAGAAGGUAGCUACUUUGAUCAUUGAAGCCAACCUCGAAUGCGAGAAAUGCUACAAGAAGAUUCAGAAAGUGCUAUGUAAACUCCAAGAGAAGGAAAAGAUCAGGACCAUCAAUUUCGACACGAAGAAGAACACGGUGACCAUCUCCGGUCCGUUUGACCCGGUGAAGCUGUCGAAGAAGCUGCGAUGCAAGGCCUGCAAGGCGAUCAAGGAUAUCAAGAUCGUCGAAGAGAAGAAGCCCGACGCCAAGAAGCCGGAAGAGAAAAAGCCGGAGGAGAAGAAGCCCGAGGAGAAGAAGCCGGCCGCCGAUGGCUGCAAGUGCUGCUGCAAGAAGCCCGACGAGAAGAAGCCGGAUGAGAAGAAGAAGCCCGACGAGAAGAAGCCGGAGGAAAAGAAGAAACCCGACGAGAAGAAGCCAGACGAUAAGAAGCCGGAGGAGAAGCCGAAGCCCAAGGUGGAGCCCAAACCAGCCGCGCCGUCGACGACGGUGAACCUGCAGUUCACGCAGAUCUGCAACCUCUGCUACCCGUGGCCGUGCAGCGACCCGAGCCACUGGGGAGGCGUGCACCAGUACCCGCAUCCCCAGCCGCAGUGGCCGUGCGAGCCGCCGCAGAUGCCGGCGUACCCCGCCCCCCACCACCCUCAGCACCCGGUUCCUCAGCACCCGCCCUGGGCGGCGCCGGCGACCCCGAAGAGGCAGCCGUGCGGAGGCCCGGCCUACUGCGGAGGAGGGUGCGGCUCGUGCGGCGGCGGCGGCGGGUACGGGGCGUGGCCGCCGCCGAUGCCGACGCCGCUGCAGAUGAUGCAGCCUCCCCCGAUGGGCUGCGGCGGGCCGGCGUCGUCGUGCAGAGGGUGCAAGGGCUGCCGGAUCGUGCAGGAGGGGAGGUUCAUCUACGAGGAGUACCCGCCCAGUGCGUGCACCGUCAUGUGA